rnacentral:rRNA from 1 species
AUUGAACGCUGGCGGCAUGCCUUACACAUGCAAGUCGAACGGUAGAGGGGCAACCCUUGAGAGUGGCGAACGGGUGAGUAAUAUAUCGGAACGUGCCCAGUCGUGGGGGAGUAACGUAGCGAAGUUAACGCUAAUACCGCAUACGAUCUACGGAUGAAAGACGGGGAGUCGCAAGACCUCGCGCGAUUGGAGCGGCUGAUAUCAGAUUAGGUAGUUGGUGGGGUAAAGCCUACCAAGCCUGCGAUCUGUAGCUGGUUUGAGAGAACGACCAGCCACACUGGGACUGAGACACGGCCCAGACUCCUACGGGAGGCAGCAGUGGGGAAUUUUGGACAAUGGGCGCAAGCCUGAUCCAGCAAUGCCGCGUGCAGGAUGAA